GUGGGGAAUAUUGGACAAUGGGGGGAACCCUGAUCCAGCCAUGCCGCGUGUGUGAAGAAGGCCUUUUGGUUGUAAAGCACUUUAAGCGAGGAGGAGGCUACCGUGAUUAAUACUCUUGGAUAGUGGACGUUACUCGCAGAAUAAGCACCGGCUAACUCUGUGCCAGCAGCCGCGGUAAUACAGAGGGUGCAAGCGUUAAUCGGAUUUACUGGGCGUAAAGCGCGCGUAGGUGGCCAAUUAAGUCAAAUGUGAAAUCCCCGAGCUUAACUUGGGAAUUGCAGUCGAUACUGGUUGGCUAGAGUAUGGGAGAGGAUGGUAGAAUUCCAGGUGUAGCGGUGAAAUGCGUAGAGAUCUGGAGGAAUACCGAUGGCGAAGGCAGCCAUCUGGCCUAAUACUGACACUGAGGUGCGAAAGCAUGGGGAGCAAACAGGAUUAGAUACCCCAGUAGUCC
rnacentral:rRNA from 1 species